CCCCUUUGGAUCCAACUCCCAAAGGAGUUGGGCCUCCUCCAUCUCCAUGCCUAAGAGGAGCUUGGGCAUCCCUUCUUUCUUGUUAGUUUUCAGAUCUUGAUUAUUUCAUAAUCAAGAGAAAAAAGAAAGAGAAGAAGAGAAGAAAAAGAUCAGAAAGGAUCAAAGAGUUGAUCACGAUCCAGACUUCGUUCAGAUUCACAGAGUGAUUAUUCUUAGAUAAGAAAGAUAAUAUCAAAGAUGACUAUUUCAGGUUGAUCCUG
rnacentral:lncRNA from 1 species